rnacentral:rRNA from 1 species
UACAACUUUCGACAACGGAUCUCUUGGCUCUCGCAUCGAUGAAGAACGCAGCGAAAUGCGAUAAGUAAUGUGAAUUGCAGAAUUCAGUGAAUCAUCGGAAUCUUUGAACGCACCUUGCGCCCUUUGGUAUUCCGAGGGGCAUGCCUGUUUGAGUGUC